rnacentral:rRNA from 1 species
UGUCUGGUGGGUAGUUUGACUGGGGCGGUCUCCUCCUAAAGAGUAACGGAGGAGCACGAAGGUUGGCUAAUCCUGGUCGGACAUCAGGAGGUUAGUGCAAUGGCAUAAGCCAGCUUGACUGCGAGCGUGACGGCGCGAGCAGGUGCGAAAGCAGGUCAUAGUGAUCCGGUGGUUCUGAAUGGAAGGGCCAUCGCUCAACGGAUAAAAGGUACUCCGGGGAUAACAGGCUGAUACCGCCCAAGAGUUCAUAUCGACGGCGGUGUUUGGCACCUCGAUGUCGGCUCAUCACAUCCUGGGGCUGAAGUAGGUCCCAAGGGUAUGGCUGUUCGCCAUUUAAAGUGGUACGCGAGCUGGGUUUAGAACGUCGUGAGACAGUUCGGUCCCUAUCUGCCGUGGGCGCUGGAGAACUGAGGGGGGCUGCUCCUAGUACGAGAGGACCGGAGUGGACGCAUCACUGGUGUUCGGGUUGUCAUGCCAAUGGCACUGCCCGGUAGCUAAAUGCGGAAGAGAUAAGUGCUGAAAGCAUCUAAGCACGAAACUUGCCCCGAGAUGAGUUCUCCCUGACUCCUUGAGAGUCCUGAAGGAACGUUGAAGACGACGACGUUGAUAGGCCGGGUGUGUAAGCGCAGCGAUGCGUUGAGCUAACCGGUACUAAUGAACCGUGAGG